rnacentral:rRNA from 1 species
UACGAAGGGAGCUAGCGUUGUUCGGAAUUACUGGGCGUAAAGGGCGUGUAGGCGGUAUCAUAAGUCAGAUGUGAAAGCCCUAGGCUUAACCUAGGAGGUGCAUUUGAUACUGUGGAACUAGAGAUCGAGAGAGGAAAGUGGAAUUACGAGUGUAGAGGUGAAAUUCGUAGAUAUUCGUAAGAACACCAGUGGCGAAGGCGACUUUCUGGCUCGAUACUGACGCUAAGGCGCGAAAGCGUGGGGAGCAAACAGG